CCCUUAGACGUUCUGGGCCGCACGCGCGCUACACUGACGGAGCCAGCGAGUAUAAACCUUGGCCGAGAGGUCUGGGAAAUCUUGUGAAACUCCGUCGUGCUGGGGAUAGAGCAUUGUAAUUAUUGCUCUUCAACGAGGAAUUCCUAGUAAGCGCAAGUCAUCAGCUUGCGUUGAUUACGUCCCUGCCCUUUGUACACACCGCCCGUCGCUACUACCGAUUGAAUGGCUUAGUGAGGUUUCCGGAUUGGUUUAGAGAAGGGGGCAACUCCAUCUUGGAACCGAGAAGCUAGUCAAACUUGGUCAUUUAGAGGAAGUAAAAGUCGUAACA
rnacentral:rRNA from 1 species